AAUGCAGUAGGGUUUACAACUAAAUGAUCACAAGCAGUAACAGAUCUCUUUGUUCCUUCUCCACUUCCACUGCUUCACU
rnacentral:sRNA from 1 species